AGCUUUGCGCAGUGGCAGUAUCGUAGCCAAUGAGGUUUAUCCGAGGCGCGAUUAUUGCUAAUUGGAAGUGCAUGGUAAGGCUCCCUUGGUCCUCCAAGUAUAGAAGUGCUGGAUUAAAAAUAGAAUUUUUAAAAAUGAAAUAAGUAA
rfam:Canis lupus familiaris chromosome 23, whole genome shotgun sequence.